GGCAAAGUUUGCUUGGUGGGAAUGGGACAUCAUGAGAUGACCGUUCCUCUCACUCCAGCUGCUGCAAGGUACAACUAUGCAUCAAUCUUACUUGAGUUGAAUUUGGCUAUAUGAAUCCUCACAGAUCAUCUCGCUUUGUUUGAGUUCGUCGUAUACCAAAUAGUAUACGAAAUAAAAAAUAAGUAGUACUAGAAGUCCUUUAUGUUUUUUUACUGGCAUAUAAAUCUCAAACAAGACUAAUAGACUACUAAAAAUCAUAGGAUCUAAAGUUAACAUACUAGCAUGAUUAUAAAAUAUAUUCCCAACUAAUUGGUAUUGCUUAUACCUAUGAUACUCGGACUCUUCAAAAAUGUCACCAAGUGUGUAUCAGAUCCUCCAUAAUAGUGCAUUUUUAAGGAUCCGGCACGAAUGCGACUAUUUUGGUGAGAGUCUGAGUAACAAAGGCUUAUAUAGAUCUUUUCCUGACUAAAUCUGUUGUUACUCUUCACUAACAAUAAGCUUACAGUUUGCAUGUUUCUGUAUCCUUUUUGCCAUUAUAUUAAUUUUCGGGCAAAUUGUGCUCAGGGAGGCGGAGGCCAAUGUCACUGGCUUAUAUCUUUACUUAGAAUGCAUGGCCUUGUAUAUCUCGAGUUCUUGAGAAGUGGAAAGUUAGAUACGAAACCUUCUAAGUUAGAGUCGACUAUCUGAAUCCUCAUUGAUCAUGUCUCUCUAUUUUAGUUCGUCGUAGAUCGAAAUUAUACAGAAUAGCAAAAAUAAUAAUAACAGAAAGCACUAGAAAUUCUCUAUAUUUUCUAGUUGGUAUUGCUCAUAUUGAUCGUUUUUCGAGACGGAGUCUGGGCUCUAUCGGAAACAACCUUACUACUCUACAAAGGUAGUGGUAAGCCCAGCGUACACCCUACCCUCUCCAGACUCCACUUAUGGGAGUAUACUGAGUAUGUUGUUGUUGUUGAUUGUUUUCCCGAUUAAACUUUUGUUACUCUCACACUAAUUUUCUGGGCAAAAUGUGUUCAGGGAGGUCGACAUCAUCGGCAUAUUUCGCUACAAGAAUACAUGGCCAUUGUGUCUUGAGUUCUUAAGAAGUGGAAAGAUUGAUGUGAAACCUAUGAUCACACACAGGUUUGGAUUCUCUCAAAAAGAAGUUGAAGAAGCUUUUGAAACAAGUGCUCGUGGUGGUGAUGCUAUUAAAGUCAUGUUUAAUCUGUAAAAAUAAACUUUUUAAAUUUGAGAAAAUAAGUUUUUACCAAAUGUCUAAAAAAUGUACAUCAUAAAAAGAUGUUUUAUGCUUUUGAAAACUACUAUGUAUUAGUUGAAAAUGUUGAGAAUGGUCAAAUAAAGUAGAUGGUUAACUUAUUUACGUAAUGAACAUUUGAGAACAUGUGCGUUUUUUUUUUCUACCAUGGAAAUAUCAAGUUAUUAGUGUUUAAACAUUUUUUUUCUUUUUUUGGGGUUCAACUUCGAAUAUAUUUGGGCAUAAACUUACGAAAAUUUCUUCUUUCACUUUAAUAUUUUUUUUACCAGAAUUUCUAAAACAACAGAAAAUUGUUUUUUUUUUUUUUUUUAAAAUUCAAAAUGACAAAAAGUUGUUUUCAAUCCAAAUUACUCAUAAAAAUUUAAAAACAACUCUAAUUUAUUUCAUGACCAAACACAAUUAGGCAUUUGUCCAUGUUUCAUUAGGAAAAUAGAAAAAAACAUAAUAUAUAAAUAUGUCUUUUAACUUGGCUUUAUUUCACAUUUAUGCCCUUCAACUUUAGGAUACACAAGUACACACUUAAAUUCGUAUAAAGUUGAACAAAUAGGCACACACGUCCUACGUGACAUCAUACAUGGUAAUUUGUGUCCUACAUGGUAUCCUAAGUGUAUUAUACCACAGAAGACUCAUGUGUCUACUUGUUUAAUCUUAUACAAGUUUAAGUGUAUGUUUGUGCUCAUUAAAAGUUGAAGGGCAUAAAUGUGAAAUGAGACCAAAUUAAAGGACAUAUUUAUGUAUUAAAAUUAUUUUUGUUUUCAAAGUAAAAAUAGUAAUUUCAAAAUCAAAGUCAACAUCUACUUUUUCGACUUAAGUUAAUAAAGUAAUUUAAAUUUAAUAAAAAUAAACACUUUUAGUUAAUCUCCUUUCUCACUUUGAAAACAAAAAUAAUUUUUUUUCCACUUUACCAAGGAGCAUGGUCAAAACGCCUACACACCGUUCAAUUUUACAUUAUUGAUUUGUUGACUCUAGCUAAUUGACACACUAACUUUCGAAUGAUCAAGUCAUAAUGAUCAGAUUAAAAAUUGAUGCUUUUUUGGCCGUGUGAAACGCUUGACAUGAAAGGAGGGCUAUCCAAAAAGUUUUUUUUUCUUCUGAAACCGCAUCACAGAGGAGUAGAGCCGCCGCGACACUUCCUUACUAGAUCUGACUUUCCUCUUUUUUUUCUCCUCCAUCGGAACCUAAAAAAAGAAUCUCUUUAACUAAGAAUGCUCAUUUUUGUCAAACUUAAAGGACUAAACUAAUAAAAAAUAUAGCUAAGGGUCUACUUUAAACCAACACCUAAAUAUAAGGGACCAUUUUUUUUAUUUAAUAGAAGUUGACUCUGAAGUUUUCAUAUAUAGUUCAUCCUAAAACUCACACCACAAAUUAACAAAACACAAAUUAAUUUUAUGUUCUUGAUUUGUUCAAACAAAUCAUAUUUUCUCUUGCAAUGUCUGAUUAUAUUUCUUUUUUUCUUGUAAUAUUUCUUCUUUUUUUCUUUCCAUCACACAAUUUAGCUCAAAAUGAUGGUAGAAUAUCUACUAGUAGUUCUAUUAGUGCAACAAAUGAAAGUACCCCAUGGCUUUCACCAUCUGGUGAUUUUGCAUUUGGUUUCAAAAAAAUUGAAGAAAAUAAAAAUGAGUUCUUGCUUUGUAUAUGGUACGCAAAAAUUCAAGAAAAAACUAUAGUUUGGUAUGCUAAUAUAAGUGAUUUAGUGCCACAAGGAUCAAGAUUGAAUCUUGAUUCUCAAAGUGGUUUAAUACUUAGUGAUCCUCAAGGGAAUACUCUUUGGACAAGUGAUUUGGUUUUCAUUGGUAAUAUUGAUUAUGGAUUGAUGAAUGAUAAUGGGAAUUUUGUUGUAAUGGGAAGUGAUUCUAGUGAUCCAUUAUGGGAAAGUUUUAGAAAUCCAACUAAUACUUUGUUGCCAAAUCAAACAUUGGAAAGAGGAAGCUUCCUUGUUUCUCAAAAGUCGCAAAAUAAGUUCACUCAAGGUACGUACGCGUUCAACUGUGUGACCAACUCAUCUGAUUGUUUUGUUAUGUUAUGUUUCUAACAUGAUAUAUGUAUUCUCUUCUUUUAUUUUUGCGUUGUGGAAGCCGUUUUGUUGUUGGAAUCAUUUUUUUGAAGUAGAUUAUGAGGAUUCAUGAAUAAUUGACUAGUUCUAGUCAUGGUAGUGCAUUUUUUCUUUAGGUCCUGGCUUUCUAGGACGGACACACAAUUGCCAUGUAGGACGUCACAUAUGACGGAUGUGUCUAUUUGUUUAAUUUGAUACGAGUUUAGUGUCGACUUGUGCACAGUCAAAGUUAGAGGCUAUAGAUGUCCGUUGAAGUCGAGUUAAAUGACAUGUUUAUGUGUUAUGCCUAUAUAUGGAGAAACAAACUAAGAUCACUCAAGGUACGUACGCGUUGAGUUGUGUGACCAACUCAUUUGAUUGUUCGAUUAGGUUAUGUUUCACUCAAGGUAUGCGUUGAAUUGCGUAACCAACUCAUAUGAUUGUUUGAUCAUGUUAUGUCUCUAACAUGAUAUAUGAAUUCUUUUUUCUUUUUUUGGAGUUGUGGAAGCCGUUUUGUUGUUGGAAUCCUUUUUUUAAAGAAGAAGAAGAAGUUAAUGGUUGAGGAAGAAAUAAUAGUAGAUUAUGAGGAUUUAUCAAUAAUUGACUAGCUCUAGUCAUGGAAGUGCAUUUUUCGUUAGGUCCUAUGCUUUCUAGGAUGUCACGUAGGACACACAAUUGCCAUGCAAGACACCAGGUAGGACGAAUGUGUCUAUUUGUUCAAUUUUAUACGAGUUUAAGUGUUGACUUGUGCACACUCAAAGUUAGAGGGAAUAGAUGUCAGUUGAAGUUGAGUGAAAUGACCAGUUUAUGUGUUAUGCCUCUAUAUGGAGAAACAUGGUUAGUUAAGAUUCAUACAGCUGACUUCGAAUUGUUUGGAAUUGAAGCGUAGUUGUUAUUGUUAUGUCUUAACACAUAGAUGUCAACUGUUAGAGCUGAGAUUAUGAUUUAAUUAUAUUAUGUCUCGACAGGUAGAUUUUAUCUUCGGAUGCUUGAUAAUGGAAAUUUGGUGCUUGUUACACAAAGUGUGCCUUCGAAUAUGGAUUAUGAUGAUGAGUACUAUAACACUCAAACUUCUGAUCCAACAAAUGCAAUCAAUUCUGGGGAUAAGUUGGUGUUCGAAGAGAAUGGCAUGCUGUAUGUAUUGAAGCGAAACAAUGAAACACAAAUUCUUACUCCGCGAUCCAAUCAUUUAGGUUCGGACAAUUAUCAUCGUGUGACACUUAACUUUGAUGGAGUUCUUAGUCAUUAUUAUCAUUCAAGGAUUUUGAAUAGCAGUGGCUGGAAUAUUCUGUGGUCUCAACCGGAUAAUAUAUGCAUCAAAAUUGAUGGAGACAACGGACCUGGUUCUUGUGGUUACAACAAUGUAUGCAGUCUUGGUUCAAACAACAGACCAGUUUGUAACUGUCCUAAAGGAUAUUCGUUGGUUGAUCCGAACGAUGCUUAUGGUGACUGCAAACCAGAUUUUUCUAUAAGUUGUGAUGAAGUUGGGAGGGGUUCACCUGAUGAUUUAUACAGUUUUAUCACGAUUCGUAAUACUGAUUGGCCGAAAUCAGAUUUUCAGAAAAUUAGCCCUUCUACUGAACAAGACUGCCAAAAUGCUUGUUUGAAUGAUUGCUUUUGUGCUGUUGCCAUUUAUAGAAGCAAUAGUUGCUGGAAAAAGAAACUGCCCUUGUCGAACGGGAGAAUAGACACCAGUUUGAACGCCAAAGCUUUUAUCAAAUUGAGAAAAGAUGGUGUUCUAAGGCCUCUAAGUCCUCCAAGUCCUGGCUUUCCAAUUCCGGAAUCUCAUCAAAAGCAGAGUUGGCGGAUUUUGGCAAUUUUGGCGUCCUCGCUCUUAGGUAGCUCCAUUAUGGUAAAUGUUCUUCUCAUUGGUGUAUUAUGUUGGGGAUUCUUCCACAUUUAUAAAAAGAAAGUGAACGUAUUUUGCCCUACAAGUCACGUGACGGACACUGUCUGUCAUAGUUUUACGUAUAAAGAUCUUGUAGUAGCCACGAAAGAGUUCAACGAAGAGCUAGGCAGGGGUGCAUUUGGGAUUGUUUACAAAGGUGUAAUGUCUAUCGGUUCAAGAAACGUAGUCGCUAUAAAGAAGCUGGAUAGAGUCGCUCAUGAGGCAGAGAAAGAUUUCAUGACUGAAGUAAAUGUGAUUAGUCAGACUCAUCACAAGAAUUUGGUCCGCCUGAUUGGAUAUUGUAACGAGGGACCUCAUCGUUUGUUGGUUUACGAGUAUAUGAGUAAUGGCACUCUUGCAAGUUUCAUUUUUGGUGAUCUGAAACCUACUUGGAGUCAGAGGACAAGUAUCGCGAUGGGGAUUGCAAGGGGACUUGCAUACCUCCACGAAGAGUGCAGUACACAGAUUAUCCAUUGUGACAUAAAGCCUCAGAACAUUCUCCUUGAUGACUAUCACGUUGCUCGAAUAUCAGAUUUUGGAGUGUCUAAGCUGUUGAUGAUCAAUCAGAGUCGAACGGAUACUAAUAUUAGAGGAACAAGAGGUUAUGUUGCUCCGGAGUGGUUCAGACAUAGUCCAGUCACGGUUAAGGUGGACGUUUACAGCUUUGGUAUACUACUACUAGAGAUCAUCACAUGCCGGAAAUGUUUGGAGAAUGAGGAAAGCUAUGGACUGGAGGCGAUUCUUGUGGAUUGGGUUGUUGAUUGUUUUCAACAAGGAAACUUGGAAGCUUUGGUGAGAAGUGAUAUCGAGGCCUUGAAUGACAAGAAGCAGCUCGAGAGGUUCGUGAUGGUUGGUAUUUGGUGCGUUCAGGAGGAUCCGUUAACGAGGCCUACUAUGAGGAAGGUCUGUCAAAUGCUUGAAGGAUCUGUUGAAGUGACAAUUCCACCAUGUUCAUGUAAUUUUAGCACAACUAUUUAACAUCAUAUGCCUCAUUUACGCGCGAUUUCCUCCUCUGUAUAGUACUUUUGAGUGGUCUAGUUGUAUUACUUUCUUUAAUGUUGAGUUCACUUUAAUAGUACUAAUGAUCUGUAUUGCUCAGACUCUUCAAAAAUGUCAUCGGGUGCAGCUCUUCACAUUUCCAUCUGCAUUUACUAGUGAUGAAAUUGUAAUUGAGACAUUAACAAACAGUUUUUGGGGCAUUUUGUUUUAAAUAACGAAGAAAUCUCCUGGGAACAGUCUCUCUACCAUCACAAGGUAGGGAUAAGCCUGCAUACACAUCACUUUUUCCGAACCCCAAUGGGGUACGUGGGGUAUAUUUUUGUUGUUGUUGUUGUUGUUGUAACCGAGAAAUCUCCCAUUGGUUAGUUGCCUCAACCCCAGUGGGCCCACAAGUUUGAAUUAUUAUUUUUUUCACGGGAGGGGAGGGGGAAUAUGGUCCGUUUCUCUAUCCUGCUCCCACUUAAAUACCACUUGUCAUGUUGGUGACAUAGUUUGAACCACAUAUCUCUCGUUGAACCAAAGUCCGGAGGCAAUAAUUUUUAGGCAUUUUAGUAAGACCUCUCCAUCUUUUACUAGAGAUCUCGAGUUCAGGGAAAAAACUCUUAAUAUAGAACACUUCUCCUUCAAAUACAUCCUAUGUGGUACAAAUCCAAAUUAGUUAGACCAAUGUAUGUAUCUCAGUCAGAUAGUUAGACCAAUAAAAAAUAGAUACAUAAAGCCAUAGAUGGCUAUAGCUUAUUAGCUAGUUUCAAUGGACCAAGACCAAAAAAAAAAAAUUCUUUUUAAAAAAAUGUGACAUUAAUUAACUUUAUUUGAUGGUUCUAGAUGUAACUUGGAAAUCCAAAUUAUUUUAAUCUAUAUGUUUCUAUCCACAAGUAAAAAAAUUCUGUACACUAUUCUUUCCCAUUAUCUGAAUUUUUUUACUACAAAGUUCGAAUAAUAUGUCUUUUCAAGGCUAUUGCCGAACUCAGUUGAAAUGUCAAUAAAGUCAAAUUUCUCGAGUUUAAUUUUUCCUUAAAUAUUUUUUUUUUAAUAUUAUAGAUAAAAUAUUAUAUUAUCGUCUAACGUUUAUCUCACAUAAAAUUCUCAAUUUGCUCAUAAAAAAUCUUUAAAUCAUGGCCUAAAAGUACAGAAGUUGCCAGAGAAAUAAAAAGAGAAUCGUUUACUAAACAAUUGUCUUAAUAAAACAAGUGGAUGGCCAUGAUAUUUUUCUAUUAAUUAAGCUCCUUGUAGAUUGAAAAUUCCUAGGUUGUCAUUCAAGAUUUUGGGUCUUAAAUUCAAAACCAUCAAUCAUAUAAUAAGUGUAAAAGUAUUGACUAUCCAAUUAUUGAAUUCCACUUGUGACUUCAAUAACAAACCAAAAUUUCUUUCAUUAAAAGACUUUAAAAUGUGUUUGACUAAGCUUAUAAAUCGGUCAAAUAAGCUUAUAAACAUUAUUUGUAGCUUAUCUACACAUUUAAAGUCUGUUUGAAUUAGCUGAUUAAAACAUCAAAUGUUGACAAACACCUCUAGGUGUGCGAGAUAGAAGUGUUGAAACUGAUAUUAAAUAGUUACGUGUUUCAUAAAAAGAUUAGGCAUAAUACAUUAAUAUCAUAGAAUUUUCGAUGCUACCAACCAUAGAAUGAAAUAAACGUUUAAUACUAACUAUGUCAUUUUUCUAACUGGUCCCAAUUCCAAAAAUCAUCCUCUAGAAAUCCACCAAAUUUAUUCUUGGCCUUUAAGAACAUAGCCAAAAUUUUUUUUAACAUAAAUUCAAAUUAAAAUAUGUCACAUGCAAAAUAUUACAAGAAAAAAAAAAUAUCUUUAUGAUCUGUAACUAUAUCUACCUAAACACAACAUGUGGAUCUAAAUCUAUGCAAAGAUUUUUUUUGCUUAAUAAUUGAUGCUCGAAAUAUUAUCGUGCUUAAAAAAUAUAAGUGGUUCAAAAUAAUUAUAACUUUUUAAAAUUAAAAUAUAAUUGAUUAUUGCUUUUCACUUUCUUCUUUACUCAAUAAAACAUGAAGACAAUUAAUAUGGUAAAAAAGAAUGUAGCAUCAAAUUGAGACCAGAUAAUAAAUAAAGAUAAUUUAAUCAAAUUACUUUUUUAAUUAAUAUUUUCUCAAGAGUUGUAGAGAAAAUGACAUAAAUAGUCCCUUAAUUAUAGGAGUAGGUCUAAAAUGGUCUCUUAACUAUAUACUUAAUGAAUUUAGUCUUUUAACUAUUAAAAAACUUAUUAGUUUUGGUCCCUUAACUAUACAAUUACCGGUUUUAGCCCAUUAACUAUAAACUUACCGAUUUUAGUCCUUUAAAUAUUUUAAAACUUAUCAGGUUUGUUCUUUGUCCAUUUUUUAAAUACAAAUAGCUUAGGUUUAUAUAUUAACCGAUAUCUUCGUAAAAUUAAAUCUUUAACCCAUUUUAAAGUUGUUUCUCUAUCCCCGGUCUUUUUUCUUCAAACUAUUCUUUUGAAAAGAACAAUAACGUCAACGAUUCAAAGUAAAAUUAAUGAGGGAAGAAGAUAUAAGUCCUAAUUUUAUUCAAUGGAGGAUAAAGUUAAGCAUAUAAUUGUUGUUGAUGACUUGAAUCCGCACUUGAAUAUGCUAAUCAGUGCGGAUUUUAUUUAAUUUACUCAAAUUUCUUUAUGUAAAAUAAAAUGAAUAGAAUAAUAAAAUUGAUCUACCUUUUUAUAAAUUUCAAUUUCUAAAAAAUUAAACAAAUUUCGUUCAAUGAAGUCGUUCGAGUACAAACAUUGGAUUUAAUGAGUAAUAAUUUUUAAUUUUUUUCUUUUUAGAAUAAAAUUUAGCAUAUUCAAGUCAUUAGUAGCAAUAAUAUGCUUCGUUUUAUCCUCUGUUGAAUAAAAUUAUGACUUAUAUUUUCUUUCCUCGUAAAUUUUAUUUUAAAUCGUUGAGGUUAAUGUUUUUCGCAUAAGAUUAAUUUGAAAAAAAAAUAGCGGACAAAGAGAAACAACAGAAAAAGUUGCUAAAUAAUUUAAUCUUUUGAUCGAGAUAUGAAUUCCGUUAAUAUAAAACUAAGCUAUUUGUCCCAUCAUUGGUGAUUCCAUUUUACCUACUUCUCAUUACAUGUUACAAAACAAUAGUGACAUUUUAUACUUAAGACUAAUUAACCAAGAACUUAUUUAAGUGUUUCAUAAUUUACUAUUGACAAUACUAUUUAGUGUGAUUUAUUCUGAUGUAUGGGCAUUAGUGCUAAAAAAUCUUUAAAAUUAUGGGCAUAAACAAAAUAGUAUUGUUGAAAGAAAAUAUCGUCAUAUAGUUGAAACAUGACUCAAAGUAAUAGUAAUAGUAAUAAUAAUUCUCAAUACUACUACUACUACUACUACUAAUAAUAAUAAUAAUAAUAAUAAUGAAGCUAUAAUGAUAAUAACGAUCACAAACUAAUACUGAUCGAUAUUGAGGGUGGUUGUGACGCUUCCUGUUGAGUAUAGUACACAAUUUAGAAUUGAAGUUCGUUUACACAAUAUAAGAAAGACAAUUCUAAAGAAUGAGAUUAAACAGCUUUUUUAGAUUUCAUUAAUGUUGUUUGUUGAUUUUUGAAAAAAGGGGCGGAGAUUGAAGAAGCGAAGCAAACCUAGAAUAGCAGUCUCUUACGUUUUUUCAAGCUCCUUUGAGAUCUUAUUAGUUAAGCACUAGCGCCCCUUUAGAGUAAUGAAGCUAUAAUAAUACUCCCUUCAUCCCAUUUUAUAUGUCACAUUUUUACUUUGCAUUUGCAUUAAAAAAUGAUGUAACUUUAGACAAGAUUAAUUAACUAUUCUAUCAGGGGUAUAAUAGACAAAACAUGGUAAUUUAUGUAUAAAUUUUAUAAAAUGACAAGUAGCUUUGUUUAAGUUUGUCGUAUACCAAUGUUAUACAAAAUAAAAAAUAAGUAGUACUAGAAGUCCUUUAUGUUUUUUGCUGGCAUAUAAAUCUCAAACCAGACUAAUAGACUACUAGAAAACAUAGGAUCCAAAGUAAACUUACUUGCAUGAUUAAAAUAUAUUCCCAACUUACUAGCAUUGCUUAUACCUAACUUUAUGAUACUCGGACUCUUCAAAAAUGUCACCAAGUGUGUAUCAGAUCCUCCAUAAUAGUGCAUUUUUAAGGAUCCGGCACGAAUACGACUAUUUUGUUGAGAGUCCGAGUAACAAAGGCUUAUAUAGAUCUUUUCCCGACUAAAUCUUUUGCUACUCUUCACUAACGAUAAGCUUACGGUUCGCAUGUUUCUGUAUCCUUUUUGCCAUUAUAUUAAUUUUCGGGCAAAUUGUGCUCAGGGAGACCGAUGUCAUCGGCUUAUAUCUUUACUUAGAAUGCACUGCCUCGUAUAUCUCGAGUUCUUGAGAAGUGGAAAGUUAGAUAUGAAAC
rnacentral:lncRNA from 1 species